rnacentral:rRNA from 1 species
AGUGAACGCUGGCGGUAGGCCUAACACAUGCAAGUCGAACGGCAGCACAGUAAGAGCUUGCUCUUACGGGUGGCGAGUGGCGGACGGGUGAGGAAUACAUCGGAAUCUACUUUUUCGUGGGGGAUAACGUAGGGAAACUUACGCUAAUACCGCAUACGACCUACGGGUGAAAGCAGGGGAUCUUCGGACCUUGCGCGAUUGAAUGAGCCGAUGUCGGAUUAGCUAGUUGGCGGGGUAAAGGCCCACCAAGGCGACGAUCCGUAGCUGGUCUGAGAGGAUGAUCAGCCACACUGGAACUGAGACACGGUCCAGACUCCUACGGGAGGCAGCAGUGGGGAAUAUUGGACAAUGGGCGCAAGCCUGAUCCAGCCAUACCGCGUGGGUGAAGAAGGCCUUCGGGUUGUAAAGCCCUUUUGUUAGGAAAGAAAAGCAGCAGGUUAAUACCCCGCUGUUCUGACGGUGCCCAAAGAAUAAGCACCGGCUAACUUCGUG